rnacentral:tRNA from 1 species
UGGGGCUUUAGUUUAUGGAGAACGGACGGCUGUUAACCGUUUGGAGUGCGGUAGCACAGGCUUC